UACGUAGGGCGCAAGCGUUAUCCGGAAUUAUUGGGCGUAAAGAGCUCGUAGGCGGUUUGUCGCGUCUGCCGUGAAAGUCCGGGGCUCAACUCCGGAUCUGCGGUGGGUACGGGCAGACUAGAGUGAUGUAGGGGAGACUGGAAUUCCUGGUGUAGCGGUGAAAUGCGCAGAUAUCAGGAGGAACACCGAUGGCGAAGGCAGGUCUCUGGGCAUUAACUGACGCUGAAGAGCGAAAGCAUGGGGAGCGGACAGG
rnacentral:rRNA from 1 species